ACUGGUUAUACUUUCCCUCACUACAUGUUGAAAACAGCUAAAGCAAGUUGUCCAUGAUACUAGUCACCGCCUUUCCCUUGGGCCAUAUACACUGCACCAUCCUGCAAGUCAGCUCCUAAUAGAGUCUUUGAUUGGCGUUGGUGUUGACUUGGCAUGUUAAGAAUAGGGGUAUACUGGUGAACGACAGACACAAACUGGUAUUGUGAAACAAAAUGUGGUGAGAGUCUGCCUGCAAUGCACGAGACCAGGGUUCGAUCCCUGGGUUGGGAAGAGCCCCUGGAGAAGCAAAUGGCAAUCCACUCCAAUAUUCUUUCCUGGAGCAUCCCCUGGACAGAGGAGCCUGGCGGGCUACAGUCCAUGGGGUUGCAAAGAGCUGGACACAGCUGAGCGACUAACACAAGAAAUGGUGAAAUUACAGAAUGCUAUGAACUUCCCUCAUUCCUUCUUUCUUUAUUCAACAAAGAUUGAGUACUCAGUGUAUUAUGACAGGCAUUGUCCUAAGUGCUGAGGAUCAAACCAUGUGCCUAGUCUCAUGGAGCUCAUUGCUCUGUGUAACUGGUUGACCUGAGGUCUGGGUCCACAUUUCGAGACAACGCGAGUGACAGAUCAGAAUAGGGUAAAGUAACAGAAGGAAAAUAAGAAAAUGUCUUCUGGGGGAUAUCAGAAAAUAUAGACCCAAAGCCGUAGUGAAAUAGUAGAGUUUAAAAAGAAUGAAGACAGGGGGAGAAGAUCUAGAUCUGAUAGAGUGCCUGAUGAACUAUGGAAUGAGGUUCGUGACAUUGUACAGGAGACAGGGAUCAAGAUCAUCCCCAUGGAAAAGAAAUGCAAAAAAGCAAAAUGGCUGUCUGGGGAGGCCUUACAAAUAGCUGUGAAAAGAAGAAAAGCGAAAAGCAAAGGAGAAAAGGAAAGAUAUAAGCAUCUGAAUGCAGAGUUCCAAAGAAUAGCAAGAAGAGAUAAGAAAGCCUUCUUCAGCGAUCAAUGCAAAGAAAUGGAGGAAAACAACAGAAUGGGAAAGACUAGAGAGAUCUUCAAGAAAAUCAGAGAUACCAAAGGAAUAUUUCAUGCAAAGAUGGGCUCGAUAAAGGACAGAAAUGGUAUGGACCUAACAGAAGCGGAAGAUAUUAAGAAGAGAUGGCAAGAAUACACAGAAGAACUGUACAAAAAAGCUCUUCACGACCCAGAUAAUCAGAUUGGUGUCAUCACUGACCUAGAGCCAGACAUCCUGGAAUGUGAAGUCAAGUGGGCCUUAGAAAGCAUCACUAUGAACAAAACUAGUGGAGGUGAUAGAAUUCCAGUUGAGCUAUUCCAAAUCCUGAAAGAUGAUGCUGCAAAAGUGCUGCACUCAAUAUGCCAGCAAAUUUGGAAAACUCAGCAGUAGCCACAGGACUGGAAAAGGUCAGUUUUCAUUCCAAUCCCAAAGAAAGGCAAUGCCAAAGAAUGCUCAAACUACCACACAAUUGGACUCAUCUCACACGAUUAAGUAAUGCUCAAAAUUCUCCAAGCCAGGCUUCAGCAAUAUGUGAACCGUGAACUUCCUGAUGUACAAGCUGGUUUUAGAAAAGGCAGAGGAACCAGAGAUCAAAUUGCCAACAUCCGCUGGAUCAUGGAAAAAGCAAGAGAGUUCCAGUAAAACAUCUAUUUCUGCUUUCUUGACUAUGCCAAAGCCUUUGACUGUGUGGAUCACAAUAAACUGUGGAAAAUUCUGAAAGAGAUGGGAAUACCAGACCACCUGAUCUGCCUCUUGAGAAAUUUGUAUGCAGGUCAGGAAGCAACAGUUAGAACUGGACAUGGAACAACAGACUGGUUCCAAAUAGGAAAAGGAAUAAGUCAAGGCUGUCUAUUGUCACCCUGCUUAUUUAACUUCUAUGCAGAGUACAUCAUGAGAAACGCUGGACUGAAAAAAAACACAAGCUGGAAUCAAGAUUGCAGGGAGAAAUAUCAAUAACCUCAGAUAUGCAGAUGACACCACCCUUAUGGCAGAAAGUGAAGAGGAACUAAAAAAACUAAGAUCAUGGCAUCCGGUCCCAUCACUUCAUGGGUAAUAGAUGGGGAAACAGUAGAAACAGUGUCAGACUUUAUUUUUCUGGGCUCCAAAAUCACUGCAGAUGGUGAUUGCAGCCAUGAAAUUAAAAGACACUUACUCCUUGGAAGGAAAGUUAUGACCAAUCUAGAUAGCAUAUUCAAAAGCAGAGAUAUUACUUUGCCAACAAAGGUUC
ensembl:lncRNA